AUUGAACGCUGGCGGCAGGCCUAACACAUGCAAGUCGAACGAGUGGCGGACGGGUGAGUAAUGUCUGGGAACCUGCCAGAAGACGGGGGAUAACUACUGGAAACGGUAGCUAAUACCGCAUACUAUUAGAUGUGCCCAUAUGGGAUUAGCUGGUUGGUGGGGUAACGGCGAACCAAGGCGACGAUCCCUAGCUGGUCUGAGAGGAUGACCGGCAACACGGGAACUAGGACACGGACCAGCCUCCUACGGGAGGCAGCAGUGGGGAAUUUUGGAAAAUGGGGGAAAGCCGGAACAAGCCAUGCCGCGUGUAGGAGGAAGGCUUUCGGGUGGUAAAGUACUUUCAGCGGGGAGGCGGUACCCGAAGAAGAAGCACCGGCUAACUCCGUGCCAGCAGCCGCGGUAAUAC
rnacentral:rRNA from 1 species